ACUCCUACGGGAGGCAGCAGUAGGGAAUCUUCCACAAUGGGCGCAAGCCUGAUGGAGCAACACCGCGUGAGUGAAGAAGGGUUUCGGCUCGUAAAGCUCUGCUGUUAAAGAAGAACACGUAUGAGAGUAACUGUUCAUACGUUGACGGUAUUUAACCAGAAAGUCACGGCUAACUACGUGCCAGCAGCCGCGGUAAUACGUAGGUGGCAAGCGUUAUCCGGAUUUAUUGGGCGUAAAGAGAGUGCAGGCGGUUUUCUAAGUCUGAUGUGAAAGCCUUCGGCUUAACCGGAGAAGUGCAUCGGAAACUGGAUAACUUGAGUGCAGAAGAGGGUAGUGGAACUCCAUGUGUAGCGGUGGAAUGCGUAGAUAUAUGGAAGAACACCAGUGGCGAAGGCGGCUACCUGGUCUGCAACUGACGCUGAGACUCGAAAGCAUGGGUAGCGAACAGGAUUAGAUACCCUGGUAGGAUAGCG
rnacentral:rRNA from 1 species